CCUACGGGUGGCAGCAGUGAGGAAUAUUGGUCAAUGGACGAGAGUCUGAACCAGCCAAGCAGCGUGAAGGAUGAAUGUCCUAUGGGUUGUAAACUUCUUUUAUAUGGGAACAAAAAGUGCCACGCGUCGGAUUAUGUAUGUACCAUAAGAAUAAGCAUCGGCUAACUCCGUGCCAGCAGCCGCGGUAAUACGGAGGAUCCGAGCGUUAUCCGGAUUUAUUGGGUUUAAAGGGAGCGCAGGUGGUUUGUUACGUCAGUUGUGAAAGUCUGCGGCUCAACCGUAAAAUUGCAGUUGAAACUGGCAGUCUUGAGUACAGUAGAGGUGGGCGGAAUUCGUGGUGUAGCGGUGAAAUGCUUAGAUAUCACGAAGAACUCCGAUGGCGAAGGCAGUUCACUGGACUGCAACUGACACUGAGGCUCGAAAGUGUGGGUAUCAAACAGGAUUAGAUACCCUAGUAGUC
rnacentral:rRNA from 1 species